rnacentral:rRNA from 1 species
GCUACCAUGCAAGUCGAGCGGUAGAGAGAAGCUUGCUUCUCUUGAGAGCGGCGGACGGGUGAGUAAUGCCUAGGAAUCUGCCUGGUAGUGGGGGAUAACGUUCGGAAACGGACGCUAAUACCGCAUACGUCCUACGGGAGAAAGCAGGGGACCUUCGGGCCUUGCGCUAUCAGAUGAGCCUAGGUCGGAUUAGCUAGUUGGUGAGGUAAUGGCUCACCAAGGCGACGAUCCGUAACUGGUCUGAGAGGAUGAUCAGUCACACUGGAACUGAGACACGGUCCAGACUCCUACGGGAGGCAGCAGUGGGGAAUAUUGGACAAUGGGCGAAAGCCUGAUCCAGCCAUGCCGCGUGUGUGAAGAAGGUCUUCGG